GGUUUACAAAACCAUCAAACAUUAAUGCCCUCGAAAAUAAAUGUUUCCAACAAUUACAAGGUUCAUACAUUUCUAUUCUUGCAUGACAAAUUUCUCCGGAACAUGUACCAGGAGAGGCAGAAACGAUAGAAAUCGUCUCAAACUCUGUCCUGACACAUUAUUAACAUGCCUAUCUAGACAACAUGCUCUGUGAUAUGUCUUUCUUUUAUUUUUUUCAGCAACUCAGUAUACAGAUGGUGACUAAUCAGUGGUAUUUCUCUGUUUGCCUGAUGAGACUAUUCUAACAGGAAUAACAGUUCUUCCAUCCUUGCCCAUAUAUGCAGCUUCCGAAGCAGUAGCAGACCAAAGCAGGUUGUACGCCAACUGCUGUUCACUUAAUCUUCUAUUCUCGGUAGAUGAUGAAUGCUUCUAUAUCCCAAGUGUCUUGGAACCCUCCUUAUCUAAAGGGCUUUUUGACACUUUUUGUCCCCGAUAAAAACCUGGCAUGGGUGUGGCUUUGAAAUUAAGGCUCUGUCUUAGCUUUCUAGUCUCCAACUCUUUUUCCUGCUAUGAUCAGCAUAAAAUGUCAAAACAUGCCAAUCAUUUCAUUAAACCAUAUGAUUGUAUUGUUUAUGAUCCUGUCCUGUGAUAGUAACAUGCAGGGAACAUCCAAUCACCCAAGCAAACCUUAACCAGAAAAUACACACGUGCAUUUGUAAACUUUCUUGUUUGGACCACAUUGACAGGCAAGGAUCAAUGCAAAACGUUAGAAAGUUGAAGCAUACCUUUGAUUUUGUUUGGAGGCAUGUACUCUCAGCCUCUUUUGCUUUUGAUUUCUCUUCCAGUUUCUUAGAAAACUGAGACAAAAUUGCAAAAGAGAUCCCAACUUUAAAUGGACAAUGGAAAAUUACUAUAUCUUCAAGUUAUCUAAAGCAUUAUCAAAUUAUUUUUAUGUCCAUGAGAAACAGGGUCCAAUGGAUACCUCUUUCCUUUUCUCUGCCCUUUCAUCACUUUUCAAGCCAAAAGAAGAUGGGGCUGCCUUAGCAGUUUUUUUAUCCAUAUUAGCUGCUUUGAAAGACCUAUAAAAAAUUUUCGACGCAACUUUUAACUUUCCAGAAAAGGAAAUCGCAAAUAAUCUUAGCUUAGGGGCACUACAAGAUUGAUUGAAAGCCUUUAUUCAUUAUGAUGACUAUAUAAAUUAAGUAAAGAUGUAACCGUUAAAUUUUGUCUCAGUUGAGCAGACCUGUAAGUUACAGGAAACUUUUCAUGAAUUGCUAAAUAGCUAUUCAUGAUUUAAUGUAAUGUUGGAAAGAUGACAAAAUAAAAUAUCCAUAAAUGGGUAUAGCUACAAAGAACAUUGAGAUGAUGAAUCGGAAAAGAGCCACUUAUAGAAGGCAAAUGGAUGACCUUCAAUAAUCGGGGGUUUUUAAAAAGGAGGCAACACCAAUUGAGAAAGAAAGUGGUUAAGAUUCUCUAAUUGUAUAAUUGAUUACCAAGUCUAGAGUAUAUUAAAAGCUGCCUAAUCAGUACUGGUGAUAUAAAAUAGAAAUAAGGUAAACAAAACAUUUACUAAAGUUCAGACUGACAAGAAGGUAAAAAUUUAUAAUUGAAAACCAUUUAAUAAGAAAGCAAAAAUCAACAUGCAUAUUUCCUAAAAAGAUAAAAAAAUCUACUUCCUACCAUAGGGGCCUUUUAACAUUCAAUUACUUACAUAAUUCUAUUGUUAAACAAAGAAACAACUUAAACUUCAAAGCUGAAUGGAAGUGAACAAGUCCAGACACAUAACAAAAAUGUAACAUCAAUGCACAAGUAUCAUAUUCAAGCAAUACAACUAUUACAUGACUGCGCAAAUGCAUGCAAGCAAUGGUAUUGCAUUCAUACAGGGUAGAGCAUCCAAGAUAUUACCCUGCAUUCUCUUUUCGUGGAGUCAUAGAAUUGGAAACCUUAACUUCUGUCCCCUUUGCGAGCACCUGCUUUGCUCCCAAAGAUCUCUCUUCAGCAGAAGCCUUCAACUGGCUGAAAUCAUUUUGGAAUGUCUUGAAUGCUCGUUUGACAAUGUCCUUAUCCUUCAUUUUUUCCAUAAUAAAUGAUUUUCGAGUAGUUGUCAUAGGAGCUGAUGCAAGAGCUGCUGGAUCAGAAUUUGGAGAAUCCAAACUAAGAGACAAGUGCAAAGAUUUAGGAGCCACUUUCUUGCUUUCUCCUAUGGAAGGAUUUUUACUCUUUGCUAAGCAUGAACCAGUUAUUUUCUUUGUUGAAGGCCGUGAUGUGGACAAUGUGCUAGAAGUUGGCAUUGUCUUUGGGACCUUUGAGGUGGAAAUCUGGGGUGAUUUAGAUACAGGUGAUGCUGGUUUUUUCUUUAUCCUUGUCACAUCUCUAAUCUUACUCAUUGCAGAAGUCUUUUGAUACUCCUUCCAAUGAUCUAACUUCACAUUUUCCUCUUUAAUUACAGGAAUCCUUUGUGUCUCUUUGUCCAACUUCUCUGGCGAGUCCUUUAUUUCCUGAGACGCUGCGUACAAUGUCUCAUCUUCUUUAACUAAAGCAACUUCUUCUGGCUUGUCUAGUGUGGUACCAUCUAGUCUGAUACCCAGUUCUUCCACUCUUUCAAUCAAUGAGCCUUGACCUUCCACAUUGAUUGCAGCAUCUUCAUCAACCUCACCAAUAUGGCCAGAACCCAACAAACUAUCCAAUUUGGUUUCUUGCCCAGUCCCUUCAGCAGAAGUUUGGCUUUGGCCAUUGGGUAUAUGAGAUUCAGGAUCUGUCCCACAAGCUUUUCCAAUGGGAUCUCCACCAUUUUGAUCAUUUGACCCUAGUAAGUCAUGUUCCAUUUGCUUCUCCUGACCCAGCUGGUCAGCCUUUCUGGCAGCAAUCUUUUUGUAAUGGGCUUCAAAGUAAGCCUUUUUCUUAGCUACAGAUCCAGGUGUGGCACACUUCUCAACUUCUUCCAUGUACUUAUUCUGUGAGAAAGAUGACCAUUUCUCCCAAGACAAUGAAUCAUUCUCAAAUCUACCAAAUGAAACCGACACUUCAAGGGCACGAUCUGAAGCAGCUGUCUCCCCCAUCUUAUCUUCAUCACUUGAGGCAGCCAUUAUUGAUUCGCCCAUUAACACUCAACAGAAGAGCUAAAUCACCAGAGCUACCACACUAGAAGUCUAGAACACAAACUGAGCACGCUAUGGCCUGUCAUUAGCAUUACCAUGAAUUCAUUGUAUCCCACUUACAAUGAUUAAGCGUAAGAUAUUCACAAAGGAGACAAAAAAGAAGGCUUGAAAAAAUGCAAGCAGUAAACAUGGAAAAACAUGGAUGGGCAUGUGAUUGUGUUUCAUAGCAAAGAGACCAGUCUCUUUCUCUCCACCCCCCGCCCCCCAAACAAAAUUUUCUUCUAUAUUCCUUUUAUCACUUCACCUUUUCACAGUAAUGGGCGCCCUACUGUUUCUGGUACUUUUGGAAGCUACCAAAUCAUAAAUCCAAUCAUCAAGACAACAAAAUUACCUUAAAAGAGAGAGAAAGGGCAUAAUCAAAAAGUUCAGACAACAACCCAUAAAAUUUUUUCUUAAAAUGAUUUAGCUUUUUGUUUCCAUAAUUGUUUUUAGUAAAAUAAAAACUAAAUAAGUCGAAUAAUUGAGACUUCACUUUAGAUUCAUACCAUUAGAAAACCAAACUUUGAAAAGAACAAAAACACCAAAAAGAUGAAAACUGAAGCAAAUGUUUAAAGGGUAAUUAAAGAUUAGUUGGCACAAGUAAUGGGGUAUUGAAGAAAACAAAGUAGACACAUCGAUUGGACAGAGAAAUCACAACUAAUGGUAU
rnacentral:misc_RNA from 1 species